GUCCUUGCCUCGGCAGCACAUCUACUAAAAUUGGAACGAUACGGAGAAGAUUAGCAUGGCCCCUGCGCACCGAUGACAUGCAAAUUCGUCAAGCAUUCCAUAUUUUU